rnacentral:tRNA from 1 species
GGAAGUAUGGCUCAGUGGUGAAGUACUUGACUAGUAUGCAUAAGGCCCUGGGUUUCAUCCCCAGUACCACCA